rnacentral:tRNA from 1 species
GGGGAUGUAGCUUAGUGGCACUGCUCCUGCCUUGAAAGCACAAUCCUGAGUUAGAUUCUUAGUACCCCCC